CUCCUGGCGUCCUGGGAGGGGGGUACUUGGAGGAAGCGGGAGAGGGUUUGGAGGGCAACGUUCUGUUUGGGAUGCUCUGCCUGUUCCCCUGCCCAGCUGGGCUCAUGGGGCCGGCUCCUACGUUAGGUCUCAGCUCAGCUCCGAUGUCACCUGCUCUAGGGUGUGUGACCUCCACUGUCUUCUGUGGCGGCCAGCGCUGACCCUGCUUGUGGCCUUCACCACGCUCACCUUAAGUUUCUCCUCUGUUCCACCCUUCAGACCGAGUCCUCCAGAGGAGAGCCUAGAUCUCAGUCACCUUUCCAGUCCGGGACGCGGUGGCGCAGGCCCUCUGCCAGGUGCUGCUCAGUAAGUACUAAUGGGGCGACUAGAUCAGCGGGGCAAAGGGGGACCCGGGCACAGCCCAGCGUUGCUGACGGGAGGUGCAGGUGCGCCAGACCCAAAGCUUGAGCCCGCCCCCCUCGCCUCCUCUGCUCGGUGCGGCCUCUCCCGGGUCCUGAGUUCUCACCUCUCCAUCCUGCCGGUCAGCACGGUGGCUCUCGCCUGUCCUAAGAAAACUUUCCCUUCAACCAUCAGCCUAUCUUUUCCUCCCUUUCAGUAUUAAACUUCAAAAAAUAAUGGUUUCUAUUUGCGGCCCACACUUUCUCAGCUUCCACUCACUCUCCAAUCUCCCGGAUAUGUCUGCUGUCCCCACCACUGACUCUUUGAGGCACCACCCCACCCACCGUCUCCCAGUCCUCCUCAGGCCCAGCUUAAGACAUCCCCUCUUUAGGUAAACACUCUCUGACCUCCAAAGCAGGCUUAGGUGUCCCGUCUUGGUGCCUUCCAGGAGACGCUGGGCUCUCUUGGCCUCCAAGAUUCUCCCUCUAGCUCUCUAACCAGUUUUUGUCUCCUCUGUCUUUGGACUGUGGUCCCUCGACUCACGCCCCACGCGGGACCUCAUUCUCUCCAAGGCUUUCUUCACCACCCAAAAUGCUGAGGACCCCCAACCUUUAUUUCUGACCCCAAAUUCUCCCCUGACCUCUGGAUCCCUGUCUCCCAUUUCCUACAGGGUUUCUCCUUCUGAAUAUCCUCAUAACCUUUCCAUCUCAGAAUAUAUGACUUGAGGGGUGCCUGGGUGGCUCAGUCAGUUAAUCGUCCAACUUCGGCUCAGGUCAUGAUCUCGUGGUUCGUGGGUUGGAGCCCCGCAUGGGGCUCUGUGCUGACAGCUCGGAGCCUGGAGCCUGCUUCGGAUUCUGUGUCUCCCUCUCUCUCUGCCCCUCCCCUGCUCUCUCUCCCUCUCUCUCUCUCUCUUUCAAAUACAACUAAGCAUUAAAGUAUACACAUGUACAUGUAUAUAUAUAUAUGUACAUAUAUAUGCAUAUGUACAUAUAUAUGCACAUAUAUAUAUAUACCUUGAACUCAUUGCCUAUACCUGCCACCUGAACCAAAUCCUCCUUCCUUUUCCAACUGAAAGCGCCACCCGGACCGCUCAGGCACCCUAACCAUUCCUUCUUCCUCACCCUCCAUACGCAUUCCAUGCAUGGUCUGUUGUACCUCCUCUCUAGAAUAUCUCACAUCCAUCCCCUCCCCAGGGCUCUCAGUGUCUCUUGCCAGGACUACGGCAAGCCUUCCGCUUUCUCUCCCGGCUUCCAGGCAUGUCAGCCCACGUCCACACUGCCACGAGGGAACCUUCUGGAACACACACUUGACUGCGACACUCAUCUGUUUCAGAGUGUCCAACAAUUGAUUUCCCUGCUGCUUCCAAGGUAAAGUCCAAACUCGAACCUGACAGACCUGUGAUGGGCAAGGUUUAAAGGCCACGUCACCCUUCCGGUGAUCAUCACUAAUCACUGUUUUGAUCAGUGACCCUUUCCAUUCCGAUCCCUUUUCAGCCUAAUCCAGCCUCACGAACUACAGGCCCUCGAACACGUCCAACACCACCAGGACUCCAGUCUUUUGUCAAUACUGCUCUCUCAGCCUGGACCGUCCCCUCCACUCCACACAGUUCCCUGAAAGCGAACAGUGUGGCUGUCAUCUUCGCACAACCCGUGUGUCCCAGCCUUGUGCCUGGCACAUAAUAGGGACUUAGUAACUUUUGAAUAAAGAGCUCCCAGGUUUUUAAAAAAAAAUUUUUUUUUUAAUAUUUACUUAUUUUGAAAACGAGAGAGUGAGAUGAUCCCAAGCAGGCUCCUCACUGUCAGCGCAGAGCCCAACGCAGGGCUCGAACUCACGAACCGGGAGGUCAUAACCUGAGUCAAGAUCAAGAGAUUAACCAGCUGAGCCGCCCAGGCGCCCCAGAACUCCCAGUUCUUAGUGUCACUUCUUCACUGCUUCUCCCGGCUCCAGUGAGAUGUGAUUGUUGCUUCCGGGCUUCAUUCAUUUAACAGAUUUCGUGAGUUCCUGCUAUGUUUCAGGCACUGUGCUAAUGGGGGGGGGUGCGGAGAUACGAGAAAGUUCAGUCUAGGUUAAUAGACUGUCAAGUAAAUAAUUAUAACACCGAGGGUAGGUACCGUGAUGAGUCCUCUGUCACACACCUUUGCCGUAGAGAAACUAAUACGAAAAGCCAAACCAUGGACAUGCUCGUUGGGGAGCAUGGUGUCUGGGCAGCGGGAAGGCGUUGGAUGAAUCAAACGUUCUGUGACAUCUUGGUCCAUUCAGGCUAUUCUAACAAGGUACCACAACCUGCGUAGCUUCCAAACCACAGAAAUGUAUUUCUCACAGUUUUGAAGGCUGGGAAGCCGAAGAGGAAGGCAUCAAUGUGGUGGAAUUCUGGUGACAACCUGCUUCUUGGUUCACAGCUGUCAGCCUCUCUCUCUGUGCCCUCACGUGGUGGAAGGGCUGAGGAAACUCUGUGGGGUCUCUUAUACAAGGGCACUAAUCUCAUUCAGGAAGGUGCCACACUCAUGACCUAAGCACCUUCCAAAAGCUCUACUUCCCAACACCGUCAUCUUGGGGCACCCGUGUGGCUCAGUCAGUUAAGCAUCCGACUUCUGCUUAGGUCAUGAUCUUGCCGUUCAUGAGUUCGAGCCCUGCGCCGAGCUCUGUGCUGACAGUUCAGAGCCUGGAGCGGGCCUCAGAUUCUGUGUCUCCCUCUGUCUCUUCCCCUCCCCUGCUCAUGCUUGGU
rnacentral:lncRNA from 1 species